rnacentral:sRNA from 1 species
GUGUGCUGCAUGAAGUGAGACGACGAUU